ACUGAUUGUCCAGAUUUUUUGACUGCUCCUACUGGCCAGCAUAUCUUUUUUUGCUUGACAGCACAUUGGUAGCUUAACAGCACCAUGGUUUUCUUGACAGCACUGUGGAUUACUUGACAGCACUGUGGUCCCUGGACAUGGUGAUGGAAGUGGAGGAGGUCCAACCUUGUGUAGCACAUUUCUCCUGCUACAUCCAUAUAUGGUGGAUGAAAAGCACACUUCAGAAAACAUCUUGCAGGCAAUCAGAUGGCAAAUUGGUUGUAUGUGCAUCUAGGAUUAGUAGUCACUGCUAACGUGUGUUUGAAACUCAGGUGUUUCUGGAAAAAUGGUUUGACUAAGGUGACUUUUCUCACCGUGCACAAGUCUGUCAGUCAGUGUUUGAUGUUACAGUAAUCUCUGAGGAGACCAUACAUAAAUUCUGAUUGUAAUACAUUACCAGUUUAAUUCCCAUUUAAGUUUAAUGUAGAAGUUGGAUAUCAUUAAAUACUUUUAAACAACUGUGUUGUGUUUUAUAUAAAUAUGUCAAAGCAUACAUUUAACCUUUAAGAAGACAAAAAGAGGAAAGAAAGGUGGAAGAAUAAAAAAAAA